GCGCCGGGCCUGCCCACUGCAGCCGCUGGCCCGAGCGACACCUCCCACCGGGGCCCAGGCCGCGGAGGGCACGGGGUGGGGCCGGGGGGCCGGGGGCCGGACAGAGGGCAGCCAGCCCACAUUGGAAUGUUCUGGAUCCCAGGAACUGCCGAGAUUAUGGGCCAAGGAUGGCGCCGGGUCGUGCGGCGUGCGCAGGCCUCCGGGGACUCCGGUGGCUGUCCCCCCCCGCGGGGUCAGCGGGGUCCCCAGGACCUGGGCCCAGAGAAUCCACCGGAUGACUUCAACCCCGUGGGAUGGCUCUUGACUCGCCCCGCAUGGCGUGUCAGUGAAUGGUCCAGAAGCUCUUGAAAAGGAGGAGGUGAAGCGUCCCGUAAAUGCCCAUGACUUCAAAUUGGCUCCACGUUCUGUCCACACUUGCUGAGACAAUGUUGAAAUCCAUUAAAUUGUAUAUUUAUCAAAUUCC